GGCCUUAAAGUUCGCUUAAGAGUGCAAAAGAGCAAGAUAGCCACAAUAUUACCGACGGACAAAAGCAGUAAAGGCCACCCAAAGGGCACUACACUUUGGCAAGAUUGUGAAGAAGCCUCAAAAGAAAUCUAAUAAACCCAAUCCUUCGCGAAAGCCUUCCUCUUCAAGGACAGAAGAAAUGCGGGUGCUAUUCCAGACUGACAUGAAGGAUAAAAAGCUGAAACAGAGAGGUUCUGGAACAGGAAAGAAGGCGAAGCAAUCAUUCAAAAGCAAGUCAAGGGACAAUGAUUUGCACAGGUUACUUUUUAUGCCUAAUGGCCUACCAGACGGUGCUGAGUUGGCUUACUAUGUCAAAGGACACGUGUCUGUCUUGAUAUUAUCUCUUAAUAUUUUGUGUUUAUGGAUUGAUCUGCACGUUAUUUUUAUUUUUCUUAAAUAUGUGACUUGACUGAUGUGCUAUUCAGAAACUACUUGUGAGUUACAAACAAGGAAAUGGUAUAGUCUGUAGUUGUUGUGAUGUAGAGGUAUGUUCAUAUACCUACCGGAGUGAAAAUGCUAAGAUAAACUUUAUGAUUUUUGUUCACAGGUAAACAGAUAAGCCUUUCACAGUUUGAAGCCCAUGCUGGAAUGGCGGCUAGGCGUCAACCUUACCGCCACAUAUAUAUAUACUUCCAAUGGAUUUGCAUAGAGGUCACCAUUUGGUAGAAGAUCAGAAAGCUACUGAAACACAGAUUGACACACCUGUGAAAAAGUUCGGUACAGAGACUGAUAGCAAAUUAAGGAGAUCAUACAAUGAAUGUCAACAUCAACAAUUACAAGCACUACUUGAAGACAGGGAAAUAUACAGUACAUAAUGGUACAUUUAUUAAUCGUGCAAUGUUCACUAAGAGCUUCGUUUAGGCUGAAUGUGGAAUCUAUCAAACCACGUCAUAUUGCAUUCCAAGAUUGCAGAGGUUUAGCUUACCUUUAAACAAGCUUUGCAAAUGGUCACAAUCAUUGAUUGAUAGAUUUUCUAAAUUGGUCAAAGAUUCAAAGGAAAGGGGUCCACUGAAUAGUUCUUCCAAAUUUUUCAAUCCUUUCAAUUCUAGUACAACCAACUUGGACAAGACAUUUGGUUCUUGAGAACCAAUGGUGUCAACAAGGCACUGUAGUUGUGAAAUCCUACCCAAAUGAAGUUCAACAAGAUCAUUCAAAGCUUGUCAAAAAGAUCAGGAAAUAUAUUCUAUCAAAGUUCCUGGGGAUCCAAAGUUUGGUGAAGGAAAACCAGAGAACCAAAACCAUGUGAUAAUAAUAUUCACACGUGGUGAUGCGCUUCAAACUAUUGAUAUGAAUCAGGGAAAAGUAGCAGGUGGUAAUGGAUGGCAAGUGCUUAGCUGAUCAUCAUGUGCACUGGCUUAGCUGCAAGCUAGAUAUAAACAACUGCUCUUCUAAUCAGCUUGAUCCAAUGCAAGGGAAAUAAUGGUAACUUUUGGGAUUUUAUGACUUCCAAAUUCACAAGUCCCGUGAUGAAUCAAGGUGUGCUAAUUAGACUCUGAUGAUCUUCUGCCGCUACUACCUGAUAUGAGUCCUUUCGGUCAUGAUAUAAUUUUAUCCAGUUGGCGAGCUCAAUUGAGUAAUAAUGGUUCAAACCCUUCCUUGUUUAGAGCAGUCUAUAAUGCAUCUGGAUGGCCAUAGCCAUGGUUUAUCGAAGGUACUUUUCUGAACCAAAUCACAGUUUCCACCCCUGUGCUAGAUAAAUCAAAGUUCAUAAAACAUUGAAGCUUGCACCUUUGCUAUUUAAUAUUUAUAUAUUUAUUCCAUAUGCUUGUUCACUGUUGUAACAAUGUUGUUCACUUGGGGAGAAAACGGGAUUAUUCCAAAUGAUAUUUAACCCUUAUCCCGCCUUUUUUUAUAUUGACUUGCCUUUUGUGAAGUAAAUUCAUGUCAAUAUUAAAAAACCACUACCUUGCCCAAGACGAAACCAAAAGUUGGCUUUAUGUUUAUGAUUAUGAUGAUGCGUUGCUUAUAAACCUCUCUUUCAUUCAUUCUGAUUUGGCUGGAGUCCGCACAUCAAAUGAACGGAAAGGAAAAUUCUGCUGGAAGGAAUUCAAUGACAACAAACACACAGAAAGCUUUGCAAGACCAAUAAGCAGGGUAUCCAUUGCUAUGAGACCACCACCUGUACAAUCAACAACACAGCUUUUUUCAUGUAUAAUAUGUUACGGGAAGUUCUACGAUGGAUCAGACAUAAGUACAGAACAAUUGAGCGACUACAUUUAUAAAACAUUGAACAGUGGCCAGGGUUUAGGGAGAUCGUGGCGACACUUUCUAGGAUUGGCUUAUUCAAUAAUGAAGCUCAUCCGAUUCUAAAGAAUGAAGAGAGACCAACCUUUAAAAAAAUCAUGUUUGACCUUCUGAAAAUUGUUCAUGAAGAUCCUAGAAAGGAUAUCAACACUAGGACAUUGCAAAGAUCAAAGAUCUGCGAUGAUGACAGCAAAAACAUUGUUUGAACCUGAUUGUAUUCUCUCAUGUAGAUUUUUGGGACUAGUUGAUCAAACAGAAAUCCCUGCUUCCUGCAAAAACGCUUUUGAUGUUGCAUGUUUCCGCAUGGAGGAGAGAUUAUCCUACUCCAACACAGUAGGGUAUAUUACUUUGAUGAAUCCAUAUGGAAUUAGGAUGUGAUCUAACUAAAAUCUCUCUUGAUUUCAUACUUACUUUCAGUGCAUAGCUAACAAAGGCAUAUGAGACUGUUAAUGUUGUUUUUGAAGUUUCAAAAGCUGUUAAUAUGACACAAUCUAUGAAAGUUGUUUGUGAGGUAAUUUUCUCCCUUAUUCCUAAAUAUUGUUGUCUCUUUUUAUGCAAUCCUCUGUAAAUAUUGUAUUUAACUUAAUUCAUUGUUACUGAACUUUUUCUUAACACUUGAUUCAGUUUUAUCAUAUUCUAUGAUUAUUUCUAGAUAGAAGGUGGUAGAGGUCCUAGUAUGUGGGACGGGAUGCCUUUACACACACUAAAGGCUUGAAAAUUGUGUCCUUAGUAAUAGACCCUUUCACUAUCAAUUUGUACAAAUGAUACUACUUGAAUGUUAUGUUGUUCUCGUCUUCUAAUUGUUAUUUUGAAAAAUUGUUGGUGUUUGUGUAGAGUUGUUUGAUUUUUCAAUUAAAAAGAUUGGGUGUUGGUUGUUAUUAGAGUAGGGUUUGGGGGAAAUAAAUUAUUUGAUAUGUUUCUGUUGGUUGAUGAUUGCAUAUUUUAUUCUUGAGUAGUUGAGUUGACUCUCGAGUAUUCCAUAGUGUGUUGGAGUAGGAGUUUGGGUUGAUUGGAGAAAUCUCUCAUUUGUUUUGGUUGUCUAGGGACAUUUAAAAUGUGCUGCCUUUGUUGUUCUAUCUCUAUAUAAUGAAUUGCUUGAGGUGAUUUUUAUAGUCUGUUCAUGAGAUUGGAUGAAUGUAUUUUGAGGCCCAGACAUGUUCCCUGUAUGAUUAAGAACACUUGGUUUUCCUAAAUAUACUAUGUGUGAUUGCCAUUUAAUCAUAAGGUUAACUAUUUGAUUUAACAAUUUGUCAUGUUUAAACUUUAAAAUACUUGCAAAGAGUGAAAGGGAUAUGAAGGAGCGUCGGAUGAGAAUCAUUUGUCUAAGAGUGUGUUAAUUCAAGGAGAGGUGUUGCUAAGCCUCCGAAAAUCAAACUUCCAAAAGCAUACAACGGAAUUUGGAACAGAUCAAGAAAUGACCUUUUUGUCCGCUUAAGAAUCUGCAUCUUUGUAACAUUUAAUACAAGAGCAUGGAAAAAGGAGCAUCUCAGAUUAAGAACAUUUUGGCACCUGGUGUUGCUGAUCAUCAUGGGCACUAGCUUAGCUGAGGGCUAGAUAUAAACAACUGCUCUUCUAAUCAGCUUGAUCCAAUGCAAGGGAAAUAAUGGUAACUUUUGGGAUUUUAUGACUUCCAAAUUCACAAGUCCCGUGAUGAAUCAAGAGCAGUCUAUAAUGCAUCUGGAUGGCCAUAGCCAUGGUUUAUCGAAGGGAAACUGGUGGAGAGGAGAAUGAUGCGCAAGUAUAUCGUGUGGAAAACGUUACUGAGUACUUUAUAAGCUUCAACACAAUUUGUGGUGCUACUCAGGAGCGACAAGAUGCUAUUUACAAGCUGGUGGAGAAAGAUAUGGAUUGUAUGUUAGUUGUUGGUGGUUGGAACUCGAAUAAUACAUCGCACCUUCAAGAGAUAGCUGAGGAACGCGGAAUUCCUUCUUACUGGAUUGAUAGUGAGCAAAUAAUUGGUCCAGGAAACAGAAUAGCACACAAAUUGAAUGUAAGCAAACUGUUUUAUAAGCUUCUUAGGAAAUAAGCUGAAAACAGUUUAUGGACAUUUCAUAAACUGUUUUCGUAUACUCUCCCAAGCGGUCUCACAAGUGCUUAUGUCAAUAGAUAAACUCAAUCAAG